GCUUUUCUGUUGCUUGGACA
rnacentral:miRNA from 1 species